UUUGCAUUCUAGUUUGGAGAAACAAACAAUAAAUAAGUAAAAAAUCUAGUGUAAGAGAUGGUGGGGGUGAAAAAACAAGCAAGGAAAGCAGGUAGAGUUUGGGGGAAAUUCACUAGGACAGAAGGUGAUGCCUGAGCAGGGACCUGAAAGAAAUGGGGGAACAAGCCAGGUAGAUAACUAGAGAAGAACAUUCUAGAAGGAAAAAAAAAAUAUGGUUAAGGCUCUAAAGAGGGAACACGUCUGCUAUUGAGGAGCAAUCUGUCAGAAAGUAUUCAUUUACCUAGAGAAGAGAGAUUCACUUCACAGAGAUGUAAACUAUUGUUUUGAUGAGAAACUGUAACUGAAGCCAAGGUAGAAGUAUACCUUGCUUGAAGUGAAAAUAUUUGAAAGUCUGGAUUUUUUUUUAAAAAAAGGCUAAAAUUAAAGAUUUAUGAAAAGGAUUGAGCCCACAUUUUAAAAAACAUAGGAAGUUUUCUCUAGUUUUGUUGCCAAAAGUGAAGCAUCUCUGCUCUGAACGUCAACACUACAGCACAAAUUAAAAAGCAGGCGCGUGAUAGUUCAGUAAUUUUAUCACUGAAUACACAGAACAUAAUGUACACUUGGCCUCUUUAAUUUGGCAUACUCAGCCCAAAAUAAAGAAGCUCAUAAUAAAAAAAAAACUUAUAGAAAUACCAAGUAUAAAACUUUUAGAAUAAAAGCAGCAAAGGACAUUGUUUUCUUCAUGAGUACCAUAUCUGAAACCGUAAAUGCAUGGCUCCAACCACUGUUUUUCAACCAUUUCUUGGUUCACACUAAUAGUGAAAAAGGACUUCCCUGUUAACACUUCUACUUUGGUUCUGUUCAAAGUGAGUAAGAAAAAUCUAAAGUGUGAUUCAUCUUUAGUAAACCUGUUUUUCCCAUCAGAAAAUAAAACUGGGUAUUGCCAAAGAUCAAAUCUUUCCAUUUUUAUUUUUUAUUUAUUUAUGUUUUGCCAUUGCCCUUUCCACAAAUUCUACAGCUCUGUCAUCUUCAAAUCCAGUCUGAUAACUUAGAUUGCAGAUCUCUGAGUUCGGAAGAGCCACAC